rnacentral:tRNA from 1 species
GCUUGGGUGGCUCAGUCGGUUAAGCUUCUGACUUCGGCUCAGGUCAUGAUCUCAUGGUUUGUGGGUUUGAGCCCCGCUUUGGGCU